CGAACGGGGUAUAUAAGCGGAAGUUUGCGGAUGGAAGGUUAUAUACUUAGUGGCGGACGGGUGAGUAACGCGUGGGCAACCUGCCCCGUGCCGGGGGAUACCGCCUGGAAACAGGCGCUAAUACCGCAUAAGCGCAUACAGCCGCAUGGGUGUAUGCGGAAAGCUCCGGCGGCACGGGAUGGGCCCGCGCCCGAUUAGCCAGUUGGCGGGGUAACGGCCCACCAAAGCGACGAUCGGUAGCCGGCCUGAGAGGGCGGACGGCCACAUUGGGACUGAGACACGGCCCAAACUCCUACGGGAGGCAGCAGUGGGGAAUAUUGCACAAUGGGGGAAACCCUGAUGCAGCAACGCCGCGUGGGUGAAGGAGCGUUUCGGCGCGUAAAGCCCUGUCAGCGGGGAAGAAGAAAGACGGUACCCGACCAAGAAGCCCCGGCUAACUACGUGCCAGCAGCCGCGGUAAUACGUAGGGGGCGAGCGUUAUCCGGAAUUACUGGGUGUAAAGGGAGCGUAGACGGCGAGGUAAGCCUGAAGUGGAAGCCCGCGGCCCAACCGCGGAACUGCUUUGGGAACUGUUUUGCUGGAGUAUGGGAGGGGUAAGCGGAAUUCCUGGUGUAGCGGUGAAAUGCGUAGAUAUUAGGAGGAACACCAGUGGCGAAGGCGGCUUACUGGACUGUAACUGACGUUGAGGCUCGAAAGCGUGGGGAGCAA
rnacentral:rRNA from 1 species